ensembl:lncRNA
AAAGGAGAGAGAUACAGAGGGAAAGAGAGAGGGAGAGAGAGAUAGAAAAGGAAAGAGAGCGAGAGAGAGAGAGAGAGAGAGAGAGAGAGGAGUGGGGAGAGAGAGAUAGCUAUAGAGGAGAACUAUCACAGUUACACAUGCCCUGAUCCCCCUUUCUCCCUCCUCCAUAUAUUAUAUCAUAAGUGACGUUGAGCUCCUGGCUGCUGCUGAUGUGUGUUUAACAGCGCCAGGCCUCUGGGAGAACCGCUGACUUCCACUCAUCAUUUAUCAGCCCCUGGAUUCACUCAUUCAAAUAUAUAUAAAAGAUAUAUAAAAAUAAUAUACCUCAAAAAGGUGUCGAUGGGUUCGGUUCUCAGCUGCUGGCUUUAUUCACCGUGUACACUGUAUAAUAAACAGCAUCAGAGCUCUGGGAAAGACAAACGCUUACAACACGGAAGAGUAGCGUACGACCGUAAUACUAGCGCUGCUGAAUUCUCCAUUCUGAUUGGCCGGCAGAGGCUGAUGUUCCUGGGAUAAGGAUCUGGAUCCAGCGAUAUCCUGACCAGGAUGAAGUGCUUGCUGAAAAUGAAUGAAUGAAUAAAUGACUGGCGUCUCAUUUAAGGAGCGAGACGGCGAGAGAUGACUCCAGACUUAUGAAUGACUCUAUGAAGCCAGAGUUCGGAGUGAGUCAAACUUCCUCAGCUUGUUCGCCAAAAACAAAAAAAAAAGACCAUGUACACAAUGAAUUUGGACACUUUUGUAUAAGCAAGCAUGACCUAGAAAAAAAAAACAGAUAGUACAGUGCGACGAGAAGGAAGAAAGUUUGUGCUGCUCUUGAUGAUCGAAGAGCGACUCCAGGAGACGGGAGAGAUCUUCGAGAAGACUUGGACGGAGAGAAGAAAACUGAGAGGGAGAAAAGGCAAGAAAGAAAUUAGAGAUGAGCUAGAGAUAGAAGGAAAAGAAAAGACAUAGAGAGAGAGAGAGAGAGAGAGAGAGAGAGAGAGAGAGAGAGAGAGAGAAACGGGCUUGUUUGCUUUUGCACAGGCGCUGAUUGACGUACUUGCUCACAGUGACUCAGUGAGUGGAUGGAGGACCGUGAAAGUUCAUGUUGGGAAUAGUAUGAUGCGAGUGAAGAGGGGGCCGCAGCCGUUCUGUCUCCUACCACACAGCAUACGGACCGGCAUGUGCACUCGCACGUCACUCCGCUGGCCACGGCAACCGCCGUAGAAACGGCCUCCACUCAUCCCUGCCGCGUGUCCUCCUCCUUCUCCUUCGUCCUGCACUUCGCUAAUAGAAACACAUGAAAGACGUGCGUUAAAAAAACAAAACGAAAAAAAAAGCACACAAUUCAGAGAGAAAUCACAGGUACGCAAUUAGUCGAUUAACCAUGCGAGACAUAGUUGACAUAAUUGUAUGAUGCUAAUCGCCGUACAAGGAAGGAACUCUACCUGUUCUGUAAAUAAGUUAACAUAUAUUUGCCUCAAAUGUCAAGAAUGCUACAUAUUUUACACGUAUUUAAAGAGCGGGGGUUGACAGAUCGCUAGCUCGGCUAAUCGGGACAGGUAGAUUAUAUAUUACAUAUCCAAGCUAAUCGACGAAAAUGUUUAUCUGAUGUGUAGAGAAAAAAAAAAUACAGAACCAGAAUGAUUAUAGAACGAUGUUUUUAGCUUUAGCUAUAUAGUUAGAAAGGCUAACUCGGUAUCCGCUAUAAUGUUGUGAUGAACCAAAGAGUUUUGAAUGCUCUGGUAUGUUUGAAAAACGGCUAAGAAGGUGAGAAUGCAAGCUGAGAUUAAGAUACUGAAAUUCCAGGUAGCUAUCGCUAGUAUUUAGCCAGCUAGUUGUGCUUAUGUUUGCUCAUGACAUAGAUUAUAUAGAGCGGAAGAGCAAGAAAUAGCAUAAACGUGAUAAAGCUCUUUGUGCGAAACUAUGCUGCGUUCAACAUCAUUUAUCAACCUCGGUGUGAGGGGAAACAAGCCUGAAUGCGGCAGUGUUUGUGUUAUGUUAGCAACACGCUAGUCAGCGAGCUAGCUGAUGAGUGAUGUCUGUUUUUUUUCCUCCUCAAAACGGUGAACUGUGUAGUCAGUGUUAUAGAUUUAACGAGCGAAUACGUCUGUAGGUCGAUAGCUCUAAAGCAAGUAUUUGUUUAUACACCCUGAUGAAAAAAACAAUAGAAACCAUUAAUGAAAUCCUAAUGGUUUCCUCUACAAAUACCAUUACAAAAAAUAAGCUAACCAUUUAAAAGCAUUACCCUUACUGUACCAUUAUUUGUCCUUAAUGGUGUCCACUAGACAUGCUAUGCACCACCAAUAAAGCAACAAAUUACCAGUAGAGACCCACAGGGACCAUUACAGUUUCCGUUAAAACCAGUACAAUUCCCAUUAUAACCAUUAAAUCCAUUAUAAAUUCUAUGAGGGUAUUUAUUGGGGUUUGUUUUUUUCUUUCUUUUCUUUAGUAUAACUCCUUGAAUGGAAGAAGUGCUAUUUUGUUUGCUGUUGAUGCUGUGGGCGGCCAUUUUGAUUUGACAUCACUUGCUGAACUUGGAGUCCAAGUUGAGGGGAUGUUUUGCUGUUGUUGUUGUUUAUUGUUGUUGUUGUUUUUCCAAGUCUGAGUUUGGGAAUUUGGGAAAGAAAAACCCCUUUAGUUGAAUGCAGCAGUAAGGCUGUUAACCUGUAGCUUGCAGAAAGUUACACAAGAUCAGAUAUUUGCUGGCAUAUUUAAAUAUUCAUGCUGUGAAAAAAUUUUUUUUUAAUGAAUGAGAGAAGUCAUGGAAUGUUUAAAUAAUCUUACAUUUUGGAGAUCAGUGCCCUAAAAUAUAUCAAACGCAUGCAGUUCCUACCCAAUCCUAACCUGAAUGCCUGUUAAAAAGCUUCAUGUGUCCUUCUGGGACUGUGUUGUUAAGUCAGUGAGUCCUGUUCAGCCCCCUGGCUGGUGGUGACAUUUAAACCAAGGUAGCGCUGCAUCUAUUUGUGAGUGCUGGACCCACGCGUUACGCUCGGAGAAUGUCAAAACUCUGAGCUGCCUGCCUCGAUGAUCAUUUCCUUUGACAUUUCUCCAGCACUGUCAAAUAGGUUAGCACCGUAAUUGCCCUCCGCGUGAAGCGAGAGGGAAUAGUGGGAAUGAAUUCGGACAAGAUUCUGCAUCAACACGCCACUCUCACCUCCCCCAUUAUGGAUCAAGGUCACCUUACACCAGCUGCACCUUGCUAAGUCCACAUUAGCAUGAGGUCUAAUGAGGCUUGGGGGGGGGACAGUGCUAGCUCCGCAGCCACCGUCUCGUAAUGCAACCUGCUAGCGCACUGCAUUAUUAGCCCUAAAGGCUUCAUUAUUUGCAUUAGCCAUUUGUUUUCAAUUUGAAGCCAUGCUACUGUUUGGGUUAUUUCCCCUAAAGGGUUGGGGUUUCACAAAAAAUUACAAUGAUUCCAUUAAAAAAAUUACAAUAAUUGCAUUUAGAAGCCAAGGGGUGAUUUUUGUGUUGGUUAAUCUAAACAGCCAGGGCUUGAAGUUAGUACACAAAAACCCAGCUUUCUCCACAAUUGAGUUGGAGACAAUUCCCAUACGUAAAUAUUCAUACUCUUAAAUAUUGAGAUGAAGCAUGGUGGUGGCAGUAUCAUGAAAGGGUUGCUUCUCUGAGUAAUACCAGGUAUCACUGACUGAUACUCAUUAAUCUUCUGUUUUGACUAAUACUUCUACCCGGUCUCUAAGCUUUGGUGGCCAUAAUAUUUUAAACUAUAUUCAAUUUUUCCCCUGCCAAUUCAAUAUUAUGGGUUAUUUUGUGUUGAUUCAUGACAUGAGAUGUUAAAAAUCAUUUUAAGCAGGGGGGUGAAUAUUUAUGCAAGCUACUGAUAAACAACAGCAAAUUGAGGAACCUUUGACAGCACCAUUGAGAGCAUCCUGAGCAGCUGCAUCACUGCCGGGUUUGGAAAUUACACCGUAUUGGACCGUAAGACCCUGCAGUGGAAAGUGAGGACAGCGGAGAUCACUUGGGUCUGUCUUCCCUCCAUCAUAGACAUUUACACCACACGGUGCAUCGGCAAAGCCACCAGCAUUGUGGAUGACCCCACACACCCGCCUCACACAAACUCUUCACCCUCCUGCCGUCUGGAAAAAGGUACCGAAGCAUUCGGGCCCUCACGGCCAGACCGUGUAAGAGCUUCUUCCCCCAAGCCAUCGGACUCCUCGAUGCUCAAAGACUGGACUGACACCCACACACACACGCACACACACGCACACACAAACACACAAAACAGAAAGCUGCGUUGUGUUUGCAAUUGUUUGAUAUCCAUGAGAGCAGAGUAUUCGUUAAAGGUUAAACAAUAAAGACAAAUUUUCACAGUUUCCUUUGCUCACACUUACCAAGGGUGCCAAUAUUACUGGAUAUGGUUGAAAUAACAAUAAAGCCACUUGACUUGACGUACGUCGGGUCAAACUACACUACUUCAGAUGCUAUAAUAGCCAUA